AUUGAACGCUGGCGGCAUGCUUUACACAUGCAAGUCGAACGGUAACAGGUUAAGCUGACGAGUGGCGAACGGGUGAGUAAUGCAUCGGAACGUGCCCGGUCGUGGGGGAUAACGCAGCGAAAGCUGCGCUAAUACCGCAUACGAUCUAAGGAUGAAAGCGGGGGACCGUAAGGCCUCGCGCGAUCGGAGCGGCCGAUGUCAGAUUAGGUAGUUGGUGGGGUAAAGGCUCACCAAGCCAACGAUCUGUAGCUGGUCUUAGAGGACGACCAGCCACACUGGGACUGAGACACGGCCCAGACUCCUACGGGAGGCAGCAGUGGGGAAUUUUGGACAAUGGGCGAAAGCCUGAUCCAGCAAUGCCGCGUGCAGGAAGAAGGCCUUCGGGUUGAAAACUGCUUUUGUACGGAGCGAAAAGGUCUCCUCUAAUACAGGGGGCUCAUGACGGUACCGUAAGAAUAAGCACCGGCUAACUACGUGCCAGCCGCCGCAGUAA
rnacentral:rRNA from 1 species